UACGUAGGGGGCAAGCGUUGUCCGGAAUUAUUGGGCGUAAAGCGUGCGCAGGCGGUCUGCUAAGAGAGGUGUGAAAUCCCCGGGCUUAACCUGGGAACUGCGCUUCUAACUGGCAGGCUUGAGUGUGGCAGAGGGGGGUGGAAUUCCACGUGUAGCAGUGAAAUGCGUAGAGAUGUGGAGGAACACCGAUGGCGAAGGCAGCCCCCUGGGCUAACACUGACGCUCAUGCACGAAAGCGUGGGGAGCAAACAGG
rnacentral:rRNA from 1 species